GUUCUGUUGUAAGGGAUUGAAAAUAGAAAGGUGGCCAGGGUGCUGUACGUGCUCUCCAAAAGAGCUUAGAAAUGAUAAAAACAAGAUGCCAGUGAGACAGAGCAGGCUCCACCCCAGGUGUGGGAAGGACUAACAGAAGCUGAGUCUCCAGGGAAGAGAAGGAAGUAUUUCCUUUUCAAUGUGAAUGAGGGACUCUAAAGGCCCUGAUCUCCUCCUGAGAACAAAAGGAAAUACUGUACAAAGAAGGAAACAUGUGAGCGAAUGCACCAAAUUUCUAAUGACCCCAUGAAGACACAUGUGACCAAGAUGGAGAAGAAGGAAGCCCAGGACAAAGCCAGCCUGGCAGUGGGAACCAAUCUCCCCAGGACUCAUCAAUGAACUUGGGGAUAGAAAACUGAACUGCAAAAUAGCUGAACAACUUUAUGGGCACAGACUUAGAAGGAAACGUGUUUAGUUCAGAGGCAGCCAGCAAAGAUGAGCCCUAGUGAAGCUGCGGGCUUUGGUCAAGACUCAGAGGAGUUACACUUCAAAAAUCAGGGGACAGGAAAUAACUCAGCUUCCUUAGGGAUUGGCCUGCUGUGAACAAUCUCACUAGCAGAACUGAUGCAGGGAUCCAGUACUACUGGCACCCCUACCCCUUUCCAGAAAUAAAUUUCUGUGGUUUCUGCAGCAAGAUCAUUGAUUUUUCCCCUACACAUUCUUGACCCAUGUGUGGUCCUGAACAAAAAUGACCUAAUUCCUGGAUGACAAGACAACGUGAUGGGACUGAAUCCCAAGCAGAUUCAGAUUAUCAAUGUUAUUAAUGCUGAUACCUUCCCUCUUCCACCCCAAAUACAUGACACAAUAUGUGACAAGCACUUAGGACAGAAAGGAAAAUGCGGGUGACAGAAAGCAAGAAAGCUCUUCUGAAAUACUACAUGGAGUUGGCUGUCUGCUGAAUUCAUACAGAGUUAUGGCACCUCAGGUGCCAUGAUUUUUUCCAGACUGCUACAAACAAAAUAAAAGCCACCGAAUGAGAAAAAGAAUAAAACACGGCUAGAGCUAAAGCACAAGCAACAACAGAAAUAACAGUUGAUGUUUAAAAAAAGAGCAAAAAGAGCUCUGCAGACCUCAGUUCUCCUGAUAAAUUCUAGCUCAUCAAAUCUAGGCAUGACCCGGUUUUGACACCAUUAACAUAUUUCCCCAUUCUAAAGUUUGAAAGGACGAUGAGAGGCCGAGGCCAGCCCUAAACUCUUGCCAGGAUAUUAGAAUAUCAUCAUGCUAUCAAAAAGCCACUUAGGAACCUCUGAGCUUCCCUGUCCCUUGUCACCCAGCCCCACAGGCGGGUAAGUGAAAAGGAAUAUGAACACACCAAAUACUCAAUAUUUGUGUUUCUGUGUGAAGGCAAGUUUUCUCCAGUGGCAGGGAGAGGGGCAAAUACUCAUUUAGAAAUAAAUUCCAAAGUACUCUGUUCUUCCAGAAAAGAUCUGCCCUCAAGAGGAACGAAGAGCCUAACUGGGGAUUUCCCAAAGAGUAAGCAAUACAGGUGAGGGAAAAUACUCAACUCCAGGGCUCUCACCUUCCUGUCUCACCUGGGAGUCAAUUCAGACUAACCCCUAGCCAGAUAAAUAUAAAAACCUCACACUCAUGUCCUAUUUACCUCAGUUCCUUUACCAGCACAUAACAUUUGCCUUUCAACACAACUUACAAGGCAUAGUAAAGUAAAAACCACACAGUUUGAACACAGAUAGCAAGCAUUAGAAUUACACUUCCUAUGGCAGAGAUGUAGGAAUUAUCAUCCUGGGAACUUAAAACCACUUCCAUUCCUAUGAUAAUGCAGAUGAUGAAAAAAGUGGACAACAUGUAAAAAGAGAUGGUGAAUGUAAGCAGACAGCUGAACCUCUAAGAUUUUAAAGUGAUUUGAGAAGCAGCGAAGGCAGUCCUGAGAGGAAAAUACAUUGCAAUCCAGGCCUAUCUCAGGAAACAAGAAAAAUCCCAAAACCA